GUAUAUGAUGACCAGCAGGCCAAACUUUAUUUUCCAUCACCAGAAAGGAAAUCACCUACUUACGUCUCCGCAAAUAAAAACUCAUGGAGCUUUCACUAUGACAAAUCACCGGAGAAGUCUCCUUUGUCAUCAGAAAUCUUUGUGGAAAGGCACUCUCCUCAAUUAUCUGAAAACUUGGCUGCCUCUGGUAACGAUUCACGACCAGAGGAUGUUGUGCCAACCUUUGACGAUUCUGAUUGUAUGAAUUCCGAAAGUGACAGCGAGAUGGUCCGCUCCCCGAUUGGGAGGUCCAAAGAUAUUCAAAAUGUGUCCUAUGAAAAUGCAUGGAAUCAUGACUCACCAAGAUCCUCCUCCUUGUCCGACAAAAUGGUGGCCGGAGGAGUGCAAAGACAAGUCAAAGGUGAUAAAAGUGACUCACUUAGUUUCAGCUCAGAAGAUGAGCAUAAGCAUAAAAAAUCCCAAGAUAGAAAGGACGACGGCAGUGCCCCAGCUUUGCCCGGGACACAGACAGAUGAUGCUAGUUUAGCUUCUUCAGUCUCUGGUUUCGAAAAGGAAUUGACAUUUGGGAAGUUAACAGGUGGCCUUAAGCACAAAGGUCAUAUCCCUCCACCUUACUUAAGGAGCCAGUUAAAUAAUGUUUCAUCUUCAGUAGAGAAACCUCAGGAAAGUCCCGAGUUGAGGUCACAAGCUGUUGCCCCCCCUAAGAGUUCCGUUGGUUUAGGAGUGAGGAUGAAAAGAGACGAGAAGUCAAGCUCAAGAUUGGAAGGUACCCGUUCUGAUUCAGAUACUGACAGUUCUGAUGAGGAUUUUUCACAAGAGACUUCAAGUUACAGACAAAAAACAGGAAGAAAAGUUAAUACCAAACAUGCGGUCUUACGAGGUUCAACUACAUAUUUUGAUUCUGAUAGCAGUGAUUCAGAGGUUGCUCCUAAAGAGCAAUCUCUUGCUGGUAGAAGUCAAUUGGGUAGUGGAUUCUCUCGUAGGACUAAAGCCUCUUCCUCCAGCUUAGAUACAAACUUUUCCUCUAAGUUCAAAAUGAGCUAUGAGGCAGCUGUUAAUUCCGACUCGGGUUCAGACAGAAAAUCCAGCAGGAACUCAUUCUCUAAAGUACAGGAACCCCAGAGACCUGUCAUAGCUAUGAAGCAGCUGUUAAUUCCGACUCGGGUUCAGACAGAAAAUCCAGCAAGAACUCAUUCAUUGCUAAAGUAAAGGAACAGCAGAAACCUGUCGUGAAUUCUUAUGUUGCUGAUACACAAGUACCGCAGAGACUGACCAGGAAUUU
rnacentral:lncRNA from 1 species